rnacentral:tRNA from 3 species
GGAGAGGUGGCAGAGUGGUCGAAUGUACCUGACUCGAAAUCAGGCGAACCGCAAGGUUCCGAGGGUUCGAAUCCCUCCCUCUCCUCCA